AUUGCAAUAUGAAAAAAGUAAAUACUUCAACAUGAUUAGUGAUGACAAAUGGGUAAUUAGAGUGUCUAAUAAAAAUUGAUCUACAACAAAAUCGUGGCAAGUUGAUCCAAUACUUCUGUUUUUCAUUGUUAUUUUGUUUUUGUUUUGUUUUUUAGUGAAAAAAGAAUUGCAAUUAAAAUAGUACGUAAGAAAAGGAGAACUGCGGCUGCCCUCAGCAGUCUAUAUAUUGAGUGAAAUACAAUAGGAAAUGAUCACUACAUUCAUUGCAUAAGCACAUUAUUAAAUUGCUAAUCGAUCACUAUAAACACAAAAAAUGGCACAGAAGGGAAACGGUGCAGCUGCAAUAGCAAUGGUACUAAGUUGCCUUAUGAUAAUCUCAUUGUUUGCUAAUGCAGCAAGGGUUCCGUCGUCCCCUUUCCCCGUCACACAAUCCAAUCCACAAGCUCAUACUAAGGAGAUUGUCUAUUAUCCUCAAGGUUGCCGGUGUUGCUGGUUUAAUUGGAAGCCCACUAUCACAUGUGGAGCCGUAUGUUGUGGAGAUGGAUGCAGUUGCACCUAAUCUGCACCAAUUGCACCUACCCAUCUGAAGUGGCAUCGUCCGAAUUCCUAAAGCCGCUUUAAGCUUUACUUUGCAACAUGUACCUCUCAAAAGUAUUGCUUUAGUUCUAUUUUCUCAUAGAAUCAAGCUGGAGGAUUUACCUCUCAGCGAUUUAUUUCCUUGCAUUUUGACAAACUUGUAUUGGUACCGUGGUUUAAUUCAUAAUGAAAUCAUGUUCUGUUAGUAUAA